UACGUAGGUGACGAGCGUUAUCCGGAUUUAUUGGGCGUAAAGCGCACGCAGGCGGCAGAGAAAGUCUGACGUGAAAUCUCCCGGCUUAACUGGGAGCGGUCGUUGGAAACUACUUGGCUUGAGGCGAUGAGAGGGGUGUGGAAUUCCGGGUGGAGCGGUGAAAUGCGUAGAGAUCCGGAGGAACACCGACGGCGAAGGCAGCGCCCUGGCCGACGACUGACGCUCAGGCACGAAAGCUGGGGGAGCAAACAGG
rnacentral:rRNA from 1 species